rnacentral:rRNA from 1 species
GACGUAGGGUGCGAGCGUUGUCCGGAUUUAUUGGGCGUAAAGAGCUCGUAGGCGGCUUGUUGCGUCAGCUGUGAAAACCCACGGCUUAACCGUGGGCCUGCAGCUGAUACGGGCAGGCUAGAGUUCGGUAGGGGAGACUGGAAUUCCUGGUGUAGCGGUGAAAUGCGCAGAUAUCAGGAGGAACACCGGUGGCGAAGGCGGGUCUCUGGGCCGAUACUGACGCUGAGGAGCGAAAGCGUGGGGAGCGAACAGG